ensembl:lncRNA
CAUAUACAGAAUGAUAUUGUUAUUGUACAGUAUGGUAUUGUCCAUCUAUAUGUCCCCAAACUAAAUAGUUUCUCUCAUGUUUUUACUCUGUAGUAAUGUUCUUGUCAUCAUAUCUGUGCUGAACAAAUGUGUCCUGAGCUCUGACGUCUCUUUUAGAGGACAGUCUGAUGUAUGCUGAGGUCAAACAGCCCAAAAAAGAAAAAGCCAAGAAAAACAAAGGAAAAUCAAGUCCUGCAGCUGAUGCAGCAGUUUAUUCUGAAGUCACAUCAGGAAGCUCUCUCAGUCAGUGAGGAGAGCUGUAGCAGCAAAGCCAAGAAGAAGCUUUUUAUGAAGCCACUCUUGCUCCUCUGCUCCCCAAAUAUCAGACAUGCUCAGCUUUAUGUACAGUUACAAUAUUAAAUCAUUAUAUCAUACAGUUUAGUAUAAAACAAAUGGAGGUGUAUUCCUAUUUAAUAUUCAUGCUCUCUAUAUUCAGUUAUAUUUCAUAAAGAUUUUGUAAUAAACCUUGAAUGUAUCUAACAUGUUCCAACAGCAGUGAGAACAAAGUGUGAAAUAUGUGAUCUUUAGUAUCUGACAGCACAACUUAAAGUCAGUGUUUGCAGUGUUUCACAAGUAAAUACUGAUAUGGGACCAACAAAUACUUUAACUGUGUUUGUCUAAAGAUCUUGUACAUUAUAUAAAUAAGAAAUAUAUGAUAGGCAGUGAAUACAUUUGAAUAUAUGAAUACAUGUGUUUUAUGUAUCUAUUUUGUCUCUGAUGUUUUUAUUCAUCUGUUGUUAGAAGGGAAAAAGUAAAAUCUUUUUAAAGUUUAACUUUUAAUGUUUAUGUUUGAUUUUUUUUUCUGUAUGAGAUUAUCCACAAACUAACAACACAAACACGUAAACAGUUUGCAUCAGCGUUGUCAUGGAAACUGGAAAUAAACAGAUGUGAGUAUUAUCUGCAAAGCGGUCACUAACAGUACAGAGCAUGACAGCAGUCUGCAUGUAUCUGACACAGAGGACUGAAGUAGAACAUUUACAGAGAGAAGCUCUCUGUGUGCUGCUGUCACAGGAUGCAGUCAAAGGAAAAGAGAACUUGUACAUGUGGUAAAUCAGCACAACUCAGAGAAGUCGCAGUAUUAUAAUUUUCCAUAACACUCACUUUUGAGCAUUAACUGUUCACACAAGAAUUUAUUAAUAUGACACAAAUAUCAGAGGUAAAAAUCCAGACAGGUUCAACAGAGAACAAUACAGAAACAAAACAUCUCUUUGACCCUGCAGAGUCUCAUUCUUUAGUCACAGUAAGGUGGGAUCCUGUCAGGAGGAGGGCACAGGUCAGGGUCCUGCUCACUCAGGUGUAUACUUAACCAGCUGGGUCGAGCUAGCUUGGCAUUUUCCUCUGCAAAAUCACCAUAAACACUGCUGAUCAUGUGCUCUAAUAACUCAGCUUUAUGUGCUGUAGAUGGGUUUCCCUCUUCACUAUCAAUCAUGCACUUGUCUUAUAAAGUGGGAGAGCAACAAGCACACUGGUGACUUUUUAUUUUGUCCUGUCACCAUUUGUAACUAAUUUGUUGACUUUCAGUUAUUUUAGUUUCCAAUAAAAUCUCAUUUUUAAUCAUGUUC